rnacentral:lncRNA from 1 species
GUAGGAGUCUCUGGUGGGAGGAAUAGGGCUGGCUUGGGCAGGACCCUGAUAAGUCUGUCUUUGGUAUCACUGGGCCCUGGCUGUGUCUAUCUCUUGGUCCCCAUGGUGCUCCCAAGGAGCUGAGGAGGGAAGGGGAGGCAGCUCCCUCUGUUGGGCUGUGGAUGGGGGCAGGAGCCAUAAACAAAAUGUGAUGGGGCCUGUUCUUCUACGUGGCCCUCCCCAAGCCUGGCAGCUCUCCAGGGCGCCUGCCUCCUGCUCUUCGCACCCACUCACCCUCUCCUCCAGGCUCAUUAUUCAGUGCUGUGCUCCUGGUUCUGCUGCCACAGCAAGAUGCAGCCUCCGCCUGGGUCCUGAGGAGUUCUCGGGCCUAGGAACAGCGUGCUUGAAGUGGUAAUUAGGCUGUUUGCGAGGUGUGACAGCCCAGGCACAGCUCGUUCUCUCUGUGGAGUGGUGGGUGUGGAUGGUGGUUAAGAAGCACCCUCAGCCCCUCAGGGUGAGGGGCUGGAGCUGCUUAGGCUGAGAGCAGUGACUCUUCACUAGGCCUCAGUUGCCCCACGGGUGGCUGGGAGCCGAGGAAGCUGGCAUCUCUGUCUCCGUCGGUGUCUGUUCCCAUGGUGGUGACGCUGCUCCACUGCGCAUGCGGGCAUGUCAAUCAUUUAAGGAGUGUUCAGCUAAACACUGUAACAUGAGGUUUCUUAAUCUUAACCUUACCCUAGCCAUCCUAUCCCGCUUAAGACUGAGGCAAGAUGUGCAGCAUUCAGUUUCAGACCCGGGAAGUCUUUAGUGCUGUCCUAACUCUUCCAGGCACUAUCGGAGGAAGGCAUGGCUCCCCAAAGGGGACACCCCCACCCUGAGCAGGAGCAAUUGUCUCGUGGGAGCUGAUGGCUCCCGCACAGGACCACAGGUCUGAUAAGAUACACGUCCUGAGCAGCAAGCAGAAAUUGAUCAGGACUUCUCUGGAGCCAUCUUGCCAAAUCAGAACUGAAAUCACUAUGGGCCAGACCACAGCCUGUCCAGGACUGCUUAAUUACGCAGGCCUCUUGCCCUGGCCCCAGUUCUUCCUCCAUUUAAAUCUAAAGCUUCUGUCAGCAUCUGUUAGACAGGAUUGGGAUGCUGGAUCUCACUUUGCCUUCCCAAUGUGACCAC